rnacentral:lncRNA from 1 species
UCCAUGGCCUACCACUUUGUUUGAGAUGACAUGGCUGUGAAUAACUCUGCCAAAUGUCUUCUCAAAUCCCAUUAAGAGAAAGAACAUACUGAGACCCCAGUGAAGCUGCAGAACCUACGGGGUAGCCAAUCUUCCUUCAGAACACCAAGAAAGUAGCCCAUCGCAAAUGGGAGGUGGCUGAAUGUAGUGAAGUCUGCGUUCCACUUGAGUGAGAGUGUGAGUUGGUCAUUAUUAAAAUUGUGCACACUGGCUGCCAACACAAAUGACCUCUGCUUUGAGAAUUCUCUGAGACCCAUUACCUGAAUGAGUACAAGUAAUCCAUCAAAGAAUAGAGUGGCCAUGAAGCCAACUUAAGGAAGAUAGGGUCCCAGGAGUAUGGCAUGGUGGCAUAGCUUUUAGACAAGUGUGUCCUAGGAGACAGUGCAUGUGAGAGC